GGCCAAACUUGGAGGUGGUGUCAAUGAACUUGAGCUCAAUGUUCUCCAGGGCUCGGCGGCUGUGGUGCACCAGGAGGGACUGGGGAUCCAUCCGAGGGACAAGCAUUAUUAAGACAGGGCCUCACUAUAUAGUUCAGGCUGGUUUGGAACUUAACUAUGCAUCCUAGACUGGCCUCAAACUUGCAGUGAUCUUCCUGCCUCGGUCUCUUGAGCUCUGAGAUUAUAGGCCUGAGCCAUUAUACCUGGCAACAUCAGUAUUUUUAUGGGGGAAAACUAAAGCUCAGAAGUUUGGCAUCACUUGCUGCAGGCUUCACUGGGCUGGGGUUUGGCUCCCAGACCAUGGUAGGAGUUGGGGCAUCCCUCACUCUCCUGACAGUAGCUGGAAUGUGAGCUCCUCAGAGGAGCUUAGAGGAUAUAGGAGAUGGCAGAGGUUGAGGCCACCAGGUGGCUGAUUACUGCUGCACCAAGCCCAUCACUGCCUACCUAGUAGGGUCUUGUGCCCCAGUUUGUCUGUGGGGCACACAUCUUGAGUUCCUGGAGCAAAUACCAGUCAUCUGGAACUGAACCCUACCACCCCAUACUUUCCAGGCACCCUCAGCCAGCCUAGCCAUUCACUCUCACCAAUGGCGUAAUAGACUUGUCCGUCACAUCAUAGCUGGUGGACGCAUUAUUCUUGACCAACUUUCCAUCUUCCAUAUGGAGCCCCCGGCCAAUGCGGUAGAUCUGCCAGGAAAAGAAGGCACACUAGGUUGUCAGAGUGGGCUCUGGGGCCCAAAGACAUGUCUGUACCCAUCAGUAUACAUGCUCAAACCCAAGUGCUGCUGGCAUUUCAUGAACCCUGGAAAGUGUCUGUAUCAUGCAUACUACCCACUGUGUUCCCCCACCCCAGCACCAUGGACACACCUUCUUGUUGAGCUCAGUGCGGUGGUGGUAACCUUUCUGCCCAGCCCGGGCAAUGGAGCAGCCCACACGGGCAGGGUGCCAAGCGCCGAUGCAGGCUACCUUGCGCAGCCCCUUGUGGGUUUUCCGUGGCAGCUUCUUGGUAUGCCAACGGCUGGUAACCCCUGCAGUGGGAAGGGCUGGUGUCUGAGCAGUCUGGCUCCCACUGCCUCCAGCAGCUUUCGACAGAGCUGACAUCCCCAUCAAGCCCUACCUUUGACGCCCCGGCCCUUGGUGACAGCGAUGACAUCAAUGACCUCACUCUGGCUGAAAACACUAUGUACUGGCACCUGCUUCUCCAGCCGGGCUUGAGCCCAGGCCACCUUCUCAGCUACUGUGCCACCAUUUAGUUGGAUCUCCAUAAUAUGGGCCUUCUUCUGCCGGAAGGGCAGCAGCUUCAUCUGCAGGACAUGGUACCAUGGUCAGUCCCAGAAGGUCACAUGCAGACAUAACAUGGCCAGCUGGUGACUUGAAGUCUUUUAUGCAUUUAUUUAUUCACAGAUGUUCCUGUGCCCCAGCUCCAUACUGUGUGCUAUGCUAGGCACUGUGGGUAUAGGAUGGAAUGAGUAGACAUGGUCCCUUUCCUCAGACUAGGGGACAGACAGAAGCCAAGUUAACUCUGGGAGAGGGCUAAGUGCUCUGAGAGACUAUUGAAGGUGUACUUCAGAGAGCAGUCAGGGAAGCGCCUGAGUAGGUGACACCAGUAACAAAGAAGACACGAAGUAAAGAUCUGAAAAAAGCUUUGAGCAGAAGGAACAGCAUGUACAAAGACUGGCUGGGAAGAUCUUGAAGAGUUGGUGGGACAGAAAAAAGGCCACACUGGGUGUGGUGUCACAUGCUUGUGAUCCUAGAAUUUGAGAAGCUGAGGCAGGAAGAUCAAAAGUUCGAGUUCGAGCCCGAGCCAGACGUGGUAGCUCACACCUAUAAUCCCAGCACUGGGGAGGCUGAGGUGGGAGGAUCAUUGCAAGUUCAAGACCAGUUUGGGCUACAACGUGAGCUCAAGGCCAGCCUGAAUUGUCCAGCAAGACCCCAUCUCAAAAAAAAAAUAAAAUAAAAUAAAAUAAAAAAGUUUGAGCCCAA